CUCUCUUUGUUAUUUAUGUAGAUAAAGAGUUGGGCCUGCUCGGUGAAAUUUUUUAACAGCUGCGGUAUUUUAACUGUACUAAGGUAGCAUAAUAAUUUGCCUUAUAAUUUGAGGCUAGAAUGAAUGGUUUGACGAAGGUUAAUCUGUCUCAACUUUAUUUUUUAGAAAUUAAUUUUCAUAGUGAAAAAGCUUGAAUUUUUUAAUGGGACGAGAAGACCCUAUUGAGCUUAUAAUUUUAUUGAUAUUUUUAUUAUUAUUUAUAAUUAUAUUAUAUAAAUUUUAAUUGGGGUGAUUAAGGAAUAAUUAGUUAAAAAAUAACUUCCUUAAGUGUAAUAUAUUGUUGAAUUAAGUAACCGAUUAAUUAAUAUUUUUUAUAUUAGUAUUGCUUAYAAUAUAGUUACCAUAGGGAUAACAGCGUAAUUUACUUAGAGAGCUCUUAUUGAAAAGUAAGAUUGCGACCUCGAUGUUGGAUUAAAGUAACCUUAAGGUGUAGAAGCUUUAUAAGGUAAAU
rnacentral:rRNA from 1 species